CGAACAACACUCGGACCGUCGGUCUACCGAGCAAAUAUCUCCCGCUCGGUGGAAGAUCUUCCCUUUGUCGUUUAAA
rnacentral:pre_miRNA from 1 species